rnacentral:sRNA from 1 species
UUUUAGCUGUACUGUCUCUUUAAGCUACUUUAAAAACUUUCCAAUACUGUCUUUCUUUUUAAACCAAUUUCAAUUUUUUUUAUUAAAUUCCCAAACAUUACACAAUAGAUCUUCAUCUUGUUUUAUGGAAGGUUAUUCCAAUAACUGCGUAGCUUGAAAUACUAUCAUUUCUAUUGAAAAUCGUGUGAUAUGCUGUACAGGUGUUACACAGGUGCAUGUAGCACUUGAGUACAAUGCAUGGCAACUUAAGAUUUUCCAGCUAAACAAAAGUACAUAUCCAAAUUCGUACCGGUACUUUACAUGUAAUGACUUCGACUGAUCAUCUUAAAAUUUAUUAUAAUAUAAGUAAGCAAUGACUAUAGAAUAUUACAACAAAAAAUUAUCGGCUUUUUAAAGUACCUGGUUGCAUAUCCUAUUAUUCUUGUGAACAUAUUUCCUUGCACCACAUUUUGUGUGAAUUUGAUUGAGCUGUCUCAAGUUUUCAAUAUCACUCGGAAAAAAAUACUUCAUAAUUGUGAAUUGAUGUAUAUCUGUUUUAAUGGGGUUAAUUCAGAAAACAGAAACCUAUUGUUGUGCAGUGUGUCACUUUUCUAUGAAAACAUACAUGUAGACUUGUGGGUUUUAUCAAGAAGCUCUGUACAGAGAAACGCAUUAUUGUAAAUAAUAGCAUUUAUGAACACAUGUAAUUAGAAUUUUAACGUGUCCAAUGUUUAUAUUUUAUAUAUCCGUGUUUAUCCUUAUUGUGUUUUACCUAGGUUAUAGUCUUAUCAAUGGGGGUAAUUUUAUCAGCCAAUGAGAGAGAGAAAGAGAGCUGAUCAUUGUACGUCACUUUUUCUUAGGACAGUGGGCGUUUUCAAGUUCUUCCCCACCAACCACCACUGACAUUAAUUCCACAUCUGUAAUAGUUGUAUAAUUAUUAGUGUAAUUCAUAGCUUUUAUUUACAUAUUUGUAGAUACUCUUCCAUUGAUAAAUAGGUUUCCAAUUUUGUCUGCCACCUCUUUUGCACAUCACUGUUAUCAUUUUCCCACUGGAUUGCUUAAUUUGAAUAUUAAGGUAAUUUGAUACACUUAGGAAAUUUGUAUAAUGGUUUUAUAAGUGAUGUAUUGUGUAAUUUAGAUUCUACCUUUACUGAUUUGUUUAUCUAUUAUAAUUUCAUGUCAUCAGUUUUAAUAAAUUACAAUUU